rnacentral:tRNA from 1 species
GUGGGCGUAGCCGAGUGGAUAAGGCAUCUGGUUGUGGCCCAGAAGACCGUGGGUUCAAAUCCCACCGCUCACC